rnacentral:rRNA from 1 species
CUCUAAGGUGACUGCCGGUGAUAAACCGGAGUAAGGUGGGGAUGACGUCAAAUCAUCAUGCCCCUUAUGACCUGGGCUACACACGUGCUACAAUGGACGGUACAGAGGGUCGCAACCCCGCGAGGGUGAGCUAAUCCCAUAAAACCGUUCUCAGUUCGGAUUGUAGGCUGCAACUCGCCUACAUGAAGCCGGAAUCGCUAGUAAUCGUGGAUCAGCAUGCCACGGUGAAUACGUUCCCGGGCCUUGUACACACCGCCCGUCACACCACGAGAGUUUGUAACACCCGAAGUCGGUGGGGUAACCCUUACGGGAGCCAGCCGCCGAAGGUGGGACAGAUGAUUGGGGUGAAGUCGUAACAAGGUAGCCGUU